AGCAGUAGCCACGGGAAUACGUAGGUGGCAAGCGUUGUCCGGAAUUAUUGGGCGUAGAGGGCUCGCAGGCGGUUUCUUAAGUCUGAUGUGAAAGCCCCCGGCUCAACCGGGGAGGGUCAUUGGAAACUGGGAAACUUGAGUGCAGAAGAGGAGAGUGGAAUUCCACGUGUAGCGGUGAAAUGCGUAGAGAUGUGGAGGAACACCAGUGGCGAAGGCGACUCUCUGGUCUGUAACUGACGCUGAGGAGCGAAAGCGUGGGGAGCGAACAGGAUUAGAUACCCCAGUAGUCCCUGUCUCUUAUAC
rnacentral:rRNA from 1 species